CCAGCCUUGUACUCCCCUUUGACAGGUAAUGUCUGCCAAUCUGUUUGUGGGAAUAAUAUUAUAUCAGCUUGUUCGCUGAUAAAACACAUUAUAUCAGCAGACGAGUGUGACGACGAACCGGAUUUAUUAUGUCCAUGAAGUGGUAACAAGACGUUGUUGAGUGAACGUGGCCGACGACCCCUUCUCAUUGUGGAGACUCUGUAUUGAAACAUACUGCCUUCGACCUGUUUGAGUUGUGGAGAGAUUCUAUCUAGUCUGCAAAUUUAAACAGCUCGAAGCAGAACGGAACGGCACCACGGGGGAUGAUGUAACCAGUGAUUGAUCGGUGAAAUGCGUGCCCAACUCCGCUUGUACAUUUCACAUGGAAGACUUCAUCAGAUGCGCCUUGGCCAGCAUAGAAUACAGUUCGCCUCACUAUUCCAGAGUGAAGCUACCAACCCUUGCAGCGCAGACAACACAAUACUCGUGCUCGUUGGCAGCCUAAUGGUGACAGCAUGGACACGCCCCACGUUCAAUUCCCCACAUGGGUACAUUAUGUGAAACCUAUUCUAUUCCCCCGACGUGAUAUUGCUGGUAUAUUCACUCAUGCUUGUUGGUUUCCCCAAAGUGACAAAGGUCUGACAUGCGCUUUUGCAUUGCAUUCCCAGAAAUUGAAAAUCUUGUUCAAAAUAAUAUCUAACUUACCUCACUCACUCGCUCAUCAAUUUAAUCUGAAAUUGUGGCGGCGGGGUGGUUAAAUCGUCCGCUCGU